ensembl:lncRNA
GUCCCAUCUUGGACUUACGGGACCUCAAUCUCUUCAUCCGACCAACCAAGUUCAAGAUGGUCGCUUUCGCGUCCAUCCUCCCUAUGCUGCAGCGGGGAGAUUACUUUGUAUCCAUAGACUUGUGCGACGCAUACUUCCACAUGACGAUACGAGAAGCCCACAGACGCUUCCUCUGUUUCAAGGUCCUCGACCGGACUUACCAGUUUACCGUUUUACCUUUUGGCCUCAUUACAGCGCCAAGGAUCUUCACCAAGGUCGUUGCCGUUGUUGCCGCUCACCUCAGACUGCAAGGGAUCACGGUCUUCCCAUAUCUAGAUGACUGGCUUCUCGUCGGGCCCAACCCCGUCCUUUUGAAGCACCACGUCAAUCUCACCCUCCAACUUCUGGACUCUCUCGGCCUCCAACUCAAUCCCGAGAAGUCUCACCUCACCCCGUCGAAGAAAAUCCGUUUUAUCGGCGCCCUCUUUGACUCCAUUUCCCAGACUGUCUCCCUUCCAUCCGACAGAUUUCUAGCCCUCCGUCAUCAAAUCUCACUCUGCGAGACCAACCGGAGGGUCCGAGCCCGAUCCAUCCAGGUUCUCCUGGGCCACAUGGCUUCCACGGUGGAAGUCUCAGUCCAAUGUGUGCAGGGAUCUGCCAUUCCAUCCGGUCUGCCCCACAACAACCAUAACCACUCCAACUAUGCCUGGGGAGCUCACAUGGACGGCCUGACAGUCCAAGACCUCUGGUCUCCCCACGAAAGGAGCAACCACAUAAACUUCCUGGAGCUCCUUGCCAUCUUCAAAGCCCUGAAGGCUUUCUCCUGCCUGAUCUGCCACAAGUCCGUCCUCAUCCAAUCGGACAUCACAGUGGCAGUUUUUUACAUCAACAAGCAGGGCGGCACGGGCUUGAGGAAACUGAUGCUCAUCUCCUCCCGCAUACGGUCCUGGUGCAUAGCUCGCAAAAUUCAAUUAUUGGCACUUCACCUCCCGGGCGUCCAGAAUGGCCUAGCAGAUGCCCUGAGCAGAAUGACGAGCUCCUCUCAUGAGUGGCGGCUCUACCCAGAUAUUCUCCAUACUCUCUUCCGUGACUGGGGGUGGCCUGUUCUAGACCUGUUUGCCUCUCCUCAGAAUGCACAACUGCCUCGGUACGGAGCGAGACUUCCUCCAGCCUCCUUCCACGGCUGCCUAGGGGACGCCUUUCUACUAGACUGGUCGUCAGAGCCACUAUACCUCUUUCCUCCUUUUCCCCUGAUCCCGAGGGUCCUGGAGAAGCUCCGCUUGGCCUCAGCCAUGGCGAUCCUGAUAGCACUGGCCUGGCCACGGCAACCGUGGUACCCAGCCCUCCUUCACCUCUCCAAGGGGACUUUUUGCUCUCUCCCACCUCUGCCGCACCUUCUGUCCAGGGAGAACGGUCAGAUCCUCCAUCCCGAUCUCCCCUCUCUACAUCUUACUGCAUGGAGGAUUCUCUUGAGCUACCUCCCACUGAAUCUCCGAGAAGUUCUCCAGGCAACUCACAAACCAGCCACAACAAAAGCUUAUGCCUAUAAGAUUUCUCGCUUUCCUGCCUUUCUUCGGUCCCGAGGAAUUGAUACCUUUCCGACCUCGGUACCGGUGGUCUUGGACUUCCUCAUGACCCUUGCGGAGCGAAAGCUCUCCAUCGCUUCCAUGAG